GAGGGUAUAGCUCAGUGGUAGAGAGCUUGCUUAGCAUGCAUGAGGUCUUGAGUUCAACCCCCAGUACCUCUG
rnacentral:tRNA from 1 species